UACGGGGGGGGCAAGCGUUGUUCGGAAUUACUGGGCGUAAAGGGCUCGUAGGUGGCCAACUAAGUCGGACGUGAAAUCCCUCGGCUUAACCGGGGAACUGCGUCCGAUACUGGUUGGCUUGAGUUUGGGAGAGGGAUGCGGAAUUCCAGGUGUAGCGGUGAAAUGCGUAGAUAUCUGGAGGAACACCGGUGGCGAAGGCGGCCUGCUGGGCAGUUGCUGACACUGAGGCGCGACAGCGUGGGGAGCAAACAGG
rnacentral:rRNA from 1 species